GGCUUAAUUUGACUCAACACAGGAAACCUCACACGAAGGAUUGACAGACUGAUAGCUCUUUCUCAAUUCAGUGAGAGGUGGUGGAGUGAUUUGUCAGGUUAAUUACCCCUUGUGCUAUCUUAGAUGACCCCAC
rnacentral:ncRNA from 1 species